rnacentral:rRNA from 1 species
CUUGGUCAUUUAGAGGAAGUAAAAGUCGUAACAAGGUUUCCGUAGGUGAACCUGCGGAAGGAUCAUUCAUAAUAAGUGUUUUAUGGCACUUUUUAAAUCCAUAUCCACCUUGUGUGCAAUGUCAGUCGAUCUUCUUCAUGGAGAUCGACCAAACAUCAACCUUUAUUUUUUAACUCUUUGUCUGAAAAAUAUUAUGAAUAAACAAUUCAAAAUACAACUUUCAACAACGGAUCUCUUGGCUCUCGCAUCGAUGAAGAACGCAGCGAAAUGCGAUACGUAAUGUGAAUUGCAGAAUUCAGUGAAUCAUCGAAUCUUUGAACGCAUAUUGCGCUCUUUGGUAUUCCGAAGAGCAUGCUUGUUUGAGUAUCAGUAAACACCUCAAAGCUUUUGGAUUUUUUAAUCGAAAAGCUUUGGACUUGAGCAAUCCCAACACCAAUCUUUUUGAGAUCGGUGGCGGGUUGCUUGAAAUGCAGGUGCAGCUGGACAUUCUCCUGAGCUAAAAGCAUAUUCAUUUAGUCCCGUCAAACGGAUUAUUGCUUUUGCUGCAGCUAACAUAAAGGGAGUCUGACCGUAUUGGCUGACUGAUGCAGGAUUUCACAAGGGUCGGCAACGAUUCUUGUUAAACUCGAUCUCAAAUCAAGUAAGACUACCCGCUGAACUUAAGCAUAUCAAUAAGCGGAGGA